AUUGAACGCUGGCGGUAUGCUUAAGACAUGCAAGUCGAACGGUAACAGACCUUCGGGUGCUGACGAGUGGCGGACGGGUGAGUAACACGUGGGAAUCUACCUUGUAGUGGGGGAUAAGCCAGGGAAACUUGGACUAAUACCGCAUACGCCCUAAGGGGAAAGGAGCAAUUCGCUAUAAGAUGAGCCCGCGUCUGAUUAGCUAGUUGGUGAGGUAAAGGCUCACCAAGGCGACGAUCAGUAGCUGGUCUGAGAGGAUGGCCAGCCACAUUGGGACUGAGACACGGCCCAGACUCCUACGGGAGGCAGCAGUCGGGAAUAUUGGACAAUGGGGGCAACCCUGAUCCAGCAAUACCGCGUGUGUGAAGAAGGCCUGCGGGUUGUAAAGCACUUUUAGUAGGGAAGAUAAUGACGUUACCUACAGAAAAGCACCGGCUAACUCCGUGCCAGCAGCCGCGGUAAGUCGUGUGACA
rnacentral:rRNA from 1 species